UUCCCGACGAACAAACUCGUAGGUGAAUGUCGCUGUACCAGUUUGUCUGAAAAUCAUCAGCUGUUGAAUACUUUAUGCAUUUUUUGGAGCCGAGCCCGCCUCCAGAGUGACCUUCCUCAGCGGACACGCCCCGUCCACCUGUUCCACAGGUGCGCCCGGCAAGAUGGCGGCGGGACGAGUUUCUGCGGCGUUUGGUGACAAAAGGAUUUAAAGCAGGGGCCUCCGGUUAAAAAAAGGGUUUUUCAACGGUACUUUCUGCGGCUCCUGCUCCUCUGCGCUCCGACGAUCUCCUCUCCAGCUCCGCUCCAGCAACUCCUUGUGACAAAGGAUUUCAAGAACGCGCCUGGAGUUAUGAAAGUUGUUUCCCCCAGG